AAAUUGAAGAGUUUGAUCAUGGCUCAGAUUGAACGCUGGCGGCAGGCCUAACACAUGCAAGUCGAACGGUAACAGGAAGCAGCUUGCUGCUUUGCUGACGAGUGGCGGACGGGUGAGUAAUGUCUGGGAAACUGCCUGAUGGAGGGGGAUAACUACUGGAAACGGUGGCUAAUACCGCAUAACGUUGCAAGACCAAAGAGGGGGACCUUCGGGCCUCUUGCCAUCAGAUGUGCCCAGAUGGGAUUAGCU
rnacentral:rRNA from 2 species